rnacentral:lncRNA from 10 species
CGGGUUGGGGAUGGAUCUGGAACACAACACAAAGUGUUUUCUGAAAACAAAGCAUUUUCUGCCUUACUGGAGACUCUGUCCCAGCUGGCAAUGCAAACAUGUACACACAAAAACUGCUAGAACACUCUGUUCUGAUCCCACGGCUCCCACAAACAAAAAACCAACCCAUGGCUGAGCCGGAAGGUCUGGGUGUCAUUUAUUGACAGCAGUUUAUACACAUUUGUUUCCUUCCCAGUGCAGGCAUAGAGCCCGUGAGAAGGGCAGUCUCUGAAUGAGGGGGCCAGGAACGUAGGUCGGACACGUCUUUGGCAGGCAUGUUCAGCCCCAGCAGGAUGCAAUCCUUCAAGUUGGAAUUCCACUGGGUAUCUGAGAGGGACCAAGGUGGGGGGUAGAGAGGAAGUCUUCAACAGGACUCACAUCUCGGUCCAGGCCUCCUCUCUCACUAUACAAGUCCAUCCAAGUUUUAGGACCCUGGGGGGCAACAGUCAGGCCCACCCACCUCAACAGGGGCAGAUUCUUCAAUCUGUGCCCAGUUCACACACACCUGUUUCCGCUGGUCACACAGUUAAAGAGAAUCAGACUUAUGGUAACAGACAGACCACUUCCUCUCUGCCCCUCCCCGGCACCUCUCUUCAGCAGCAUCUGCACAGGAACCGCUGGGAAGACGGAGGCCUGCCUUCUCAGUUCAGCCGCACAUGCCCUCAUCCGCAAACCUUCCAUCAGUGACAGGACGGAGGCCACACGUGGAUAAAAAAGUAGAUGGAUGUGAGAAGAAUGAAAGAGUUUCAUUUGAUAGACUAAUUAGAGAUCUGAAGUGAUUUUACCUUUAUUUCCUUCACUUUAAGCCAAUCAUGAAAUUUCACAGUGAUUUCUGGGGUGGGAGCAGAAGGAAGGCUGUGUUAAGAAUCAUCGGGGCUGUGGCCCAGUCAGCCCGCGGAGGUGCAGGCAGGGUGGGCCCUCACUGGGGCAGCUGGAGGAGCACGGACUGCCCCGCUGGCAGGUAGGUGAUGUUCCGAGAGCGUGAGAGCUGGUACGCGAUGUCCUCUGCAGCUUCCAGCUUGCGCAGCUCGAUCAGGCCAUCCCCUGCAGUGGCCAGUGAGUUGGCAAUCAGCUCAGCUGCCUUGGAGUCGCCCUCAGCAGAGAUGAUGGCCGCCUUUUUCUGUUGCUCAGCCUAAAAGAAUGGAGGUGGAGACAAAGAUCAAACCUCAGGGCACCGCAUGUCAGGCUACAACCAAAGGCCCUUCACCAGAAAGCCACCUUCCCAGGCUCCUGAAGGAACUCGGGGAGUUUACUUCCUCCUGAUGGCUAGCGGGGGAAGCGGGGGGAAGCAGAGCACAUUGCCCACCAGUCCUCCCCUAUCCUUUCAUGCUCACUCCUUGUCACGGGAGGGAUACAUCUCUGUUGGCUGCAGGAAUAUUUGUCUUAUUUCAAAGUCCUCAUUAAUAUUAAUUGCAAUCUAGUUUAACAACCCUACUCUGAGCCAGGAGAAGCCAAGGCCAAGGAAAACAGAAGCAAAAGAAAGGUGGAAUCAAUCCUCAAGGCUCAUCUUUUCCUCCAGCCUUAAGUCUAAAGGACUUCAUCAAAGCCAGGACAGGGCCGGGUGUGGUGGCUCAUGCCUGUAAUCCUGGCACUUUGGGAGGCGGAGGCAGGAGGAUCACUUGAGCCCAGGAGGCCAAGGCUGCAGUGAGCUAUGAUCAUGCCAUUGCACUCCAGCCUGGGCCACAGAGCUGUCACAAACAAACAAACAAACAAACAAACAAACAAAAAACCUCGGGAUGGCUAAGGAAGAGCAGCAUGCACUUUUGACUGUUCCUAGAGCUGCCUGUGAGUUAGGCUGGUUCCUGACCAGAAUCCAGGCACCCAGAGUGAGAUCUCCUAGGCUUGCCCUACCAAUAUCAAUAGGAAGACAGCUCUCUGCAACGUGUGACCUUCAGGAGUGUGAGGAAGAAGACAGUAUUAAGCCUCCCUGAAAUUACAUACAAUUUUGAAAUGACUGGGCCCUGCGUCUAUUUGCUCAACAAACAUUUACUGUAUACCUACUAUCACCAGGCACUGUACUAGACUUAUUAUAAUCUCUGAAGUUAUGGCAGAUACAAAGCAACACAAGUCUCUGCCCACACAGUGUUUUCAUUCUCCAAAAUUAAAUCUAUCCCUCUUUUCCCAUUUUAUUUCUUGCUGUCCCCAUCUCCCCACCAAUUAGGGAUACUGGUGGUGGGAAGAAGGGGACAACAAUAAAUGAACAUGUCUUUGCAAAUACCAGAAAGACCAGGCUGCUACGCAAAUACACUGUGUCCCAUCACAUUCUUUGACACAUCUGGAUGGAUUUAGCACUAGAAAAAAAUCUAGUGACGAAAGCACAUCUGGUGCAACGUUUGAUCUUUUUUGCUGUCAGCUUUCACUAUGUAACUAUGGUUAAAAAUGACUUCUCAGUGAAGCUGAAAAUACUCCAGGAGAAACAUUUUUAUUUGUAAGAGAGUGUUUUUGAUCUCAGAGAAGUGGAAGAAAAAUUACCCUUCAGUGAUUUAGGAACAUAACUCCACAUAUCCUUGACUAGCCCCUGAAGACUCUGGAACCAAUUGCAGAAGUACAAUUCCUUCAAGCCCCUUCUGAUUAUCCCGGAAGAAGGGAUGACAGAUGAUGAAUUUCCAGGCCACCCAGCAAAUGGGGAAGCUGAGUGCCGGAGAAAGGGGAGAGAGAGGCUCCUGCCAUCUGGUCGAAGGCUCACCUUUUCCACCACAAAUCUGGCCCUCUCUGCUUCCUGCUGAGCCACCUGUUUGGCUUCCACCGCUUCUGUGAACUCCUUCCCGAAGGUCAGAU